CUCCUCAUGGGGAAUCGAACCGGUCUCCCGCGUGACAGGCGGGACACUCACCACUAUACUACCGAGGA